rnacentral:lncRNA from 1 species
AAAAUCCUGAACAUUUCAUGGACUCAAACCUGAAUUGUAUCUGGAGACUUAUCUGGAGGCCAUCCCAUUCCUUCCAGUUCCAGAUUGGAAGUGGAUCACCCACCACUUGGAAGGAGCUGUGAUAUCAAGUCUGUUCUUACUCUGCACUCUGGAAUGGGGCCCUGCUCUCUCAUCCUGGCUCUCUGGGUCAACUCCAAAGUUCUGCAGGGCACUGUACGUGGCACGUGACAGAGCAAGCCAAAAACAAAUGUCCAACGUGCAAGUUGUGAUACUUCAAGUCAAAACAUGCCCCUGUGCUGGAUUUCUAGAUCUUGGAAAGGUAGGAUCUUCUGUUUGAAAUUACAGAAAUCCCAAACUGACCUAAAUUCACUGUUAUU